CACCGCGGUUAUACGAGAGGCCCAAGUUGAUGAAAGACGGCGUAAAGAGUGGUUAGGGGCACACAACACUAAAGCCGAAGGCCUUCCGAGCUGUUAUACGCCUCUCCGAAGCCAUUAAGCCCACCUACGAAAGUGGCUUUACUUAACCUGACCCCACGAAAGCUGAGGAA
rnacentral:rRNA from 1 species